ACGAACAUAGUAUAAUGGUAUUAUGAUAGUCUCCAAAACUAUUGAUGUGGGUUCGAUUCCUACUGUUCGUG
rnacentral:tRNA from 1 species